GUUGUAUAGUCAAGUAAUUAAGUGCAUGUGGUGGAUGCCUUGGCAGUCAGAGGCGAUGAAAGACGUGAUAGCCUGCGAAAAGCUCCGGGGAGGCGGCAAAUAUCCUUUGAUCCGGAGAUGUCUGAAUGGGGGAACCCACCUACUUUAAGGUAGGUAUUGCAACAUGAAUACAUAGUGUUGCAAGGCGAACGAGGGGAAGUGAAACAUCUCAGUACCCUUAGGAAAAGAAAUCAAUUGAGAUUCCCUCAGUAGCGGCGAGCGAACGGGGAUCAGCCCAUUAAGUUAUGUGUGUUUUAGUGGAACGCUCUGGGAAGUGCGAACGUAGAGGGUGAUAUUCCCGUACACGAAAGGGCACACAUAAUGAUGACGAGUAGGGCGAGGCACGUGAAACCUUGUCUGAAUAUGGGGGGACCAUCCUCCAAGGCUAAAUACUCCUGACUGACCGAUAGUGAACCUGUACCGUGAGGGAAAGGCGAAAAGAACCCCUGUGAGGGGAGUGAAAUAGAUCCUGAAACCGCAUGCAUACAAGCAGUGGGAGCACCUUCGUGGUGUGACUGCGUACCUUUUGUAUAAUGGGUCAGCGACUUAUAUUCAGUAGCGAGGUUAACCGUAUAGGGGAGCCGUAGAGAAAUCGAGUCUUAAUAGGGCGUUUAGUUGCUGGGUAUAGACCCGAAACCAGGCGAUCUAUCCAUGAGCAGGUUGAAGGUUGGGUAACACUAACUGGAGGACCGAACCCACUGUCGUUGAAAAGCCAGGGGAUGACUUGUGGAUAGGGGUGAAAGGCUAAUCAAGCCUGGUGAUAGCUGGUUCUCCCCGAAAGCUAUUUAGGUAGCGCCUCGGACGAAUACCAUAGGGGGUAGAGCACUGUUUCGGCUAGGGGGUCAUCCCGACUUACCAAACCGAUGCAAACUCCGAAUACCUAUGAGUACUAUCCGGGAGACAGACUGCGGGUGCUAACGUCCGUAGUCAAGAGGAAAACAAUCCAGACCGCCAGCUAAGGCCCCAAAAUCAUAGUUAAGUGGGAAACGAUGUGGGAAGGCAUAGACAGCUAGGAGGUUGGCUUAGAAGCAGCCACCCUUUAAAGAAAGCGUAAUAGCUCACUAGUCGAGUCGGCCUGCGCGGAAGAUGUAACGGGGCUAAAACUAUGUGCCGAAGCUGCGGAUGUAUACUUUGUAUACGUGGUAGGGGAGCGUUCUGUAAGCCGAUGAAGGUGUGUUGAGAAGCAUGCUGGAGGUAUCAGAAGUGCGAAUGCUGACGUGAGUAACGACAAAACGGGUGAAAAACCCGUUCGCCGAAAGACCAAGGGUUCCAGUCCAACGUUAAUCGGGGCUGGGUGAGUCGACCCCUAAGGCGAGGCCGAAAGGCGUAGUCGAUGGGAAAAUGGUUAAUAUUCCAUUACUUCUGUGUAAUGCGAUGAGAGGACGGAGAAGGCUAAAUCAGCCUGGCGUUGGUUGUCCAGGUGAAAGGAUGUAGGCAUGUAUCUUAGGCAAAUCCGGGGUACUCUAUGCUGAGAUCUGAUAGCAAGCUGUACUUGUACAGCGAAGUGGUUGAUGCCAUGCUUCCAGGAAAAGUCUCUAAGCUUCAGUUACACAGGAAUCGUACCCGAAACCGACACAGGUGGUCAGGUCGAGUAGACCAAGGCGCUUGAGAGAACUCUGCUGAAGGAACUAGGCAAAAUGGUACCGUAACUUCGGGAGAAGGUACGCUGUUGUUGGUGAUGGAACUCGCUUCCUGAGCUGACGACAGCCGCAGAAACCAGGCCGCUGCAACUGUUUAUUAAAAACAUAGCACUCUGCAAACACGAAAGUGGACGUAUAGGGUGUGAUGCCUGCCCGGUGCUGGAAGGUUAAUUGAUGGGGUUAGCGUAAGCGAAGCUCUUGAUCGAAGCCCCAGUAAACGGCGGCCGUAACUAUAACGGUCCUAAGGUAGCGAAAUUCCUUGUCGGGUAAGUUCCGACCUGCACGAAUGGCAUAAUGAUGGCGGCGCUGUCUCCAGCAGAGGCUCAGUGAAAUCGAAAUCGCUGUGAAGAUGCAGUGUACCCGCGGCUAGACGGAAAGACCCCGUGAACCUUUACUGCAGCUUGACACUGAACUUUGACCUUACUUGUGUAGGAUAGGUGGGAGGCUUUGAAGCUGGAACGCUAGUUCCAGUGGAGCCGUCCUUGAAAUACCACCCUGGUAAUGUUGAGGUUCUAACUCUGUCCCGUGAUCCGGGACGAGGACCGUGUCUGGUGGGUAGUUUGACUGGGGCGGUCUCCUCCUAAAGAGUAACGGAGGAGUACGAAGGUGCGCUCAGCGUGGUCGGAAAUCACGCGUAGAGUAUAAAGGCAAAAGCGCGCUUAACUGCGAGACCCACAAGUCGAGCAGGUACGAAAGUAGGUCUUAGUGAUCCGGUGGUUCUGUAUGGAAGGGCCAUCGCUCAACGGAUAAAAGGUACUCUGGGGAUAACAGGCUGAUACCGCCCAAGAGUUCAUAUCGACGGCGGUGUUUGGCACCUCGAUGUCGGCUCAUCUCAUCCUGGGGCUGAAGCAGGUCCCAAGGGUAUGGCUGUUCGCCAUUUAAAGAGGUACGCGAGCUGGGUUUAGAACGUCGUGAGACAGUUCGGUCCCUAUCUACCGUGGGCGCUGGAAAUUUGAGAGGAUCUGCUCCUAGUACGAGAGGACCAGAGUGGACGAACCUCUGGUGUACCGGUUGUGACGCCAGUCGCAUCGCCGGGUAGCUAUGUUCGGAAGGGAUAACCGCUGAAAGCAUCUAAGCGGGAAGCCUACCUCAAGAUAAGAUUUCCCUAGGACUUUAUGUCCUCUAAAGAGCCGUUCGAGACUAGGACGUUGAUAGGUUGGAUGUGGAAGCAUAGUGAUAUGUGAAGCUGACCAAUACUAAUUGCUCGUGAGGCUUGACUAUACAACACCCAAGCAGUUG
rnacentral:rRNA from 1 species